ACGGAUCUAAGUGCAGGUGAGAGGCCUUGCUGGGUGCCUGCUUUGGGGCGCGUGGUCACAGGGUGCGCAACCAUGCGGAAAGUGGUUCUGAUCACCGGGGCGAGCAGUGGCGUGGGCCUAGCCCUCUGCAGACGGUUGCUGGAAGAAGAUGAUGCGCUUCACCUGUGCUGGGCGUGCAGGAACAUGAGCAAAGCAGAAGCUGUCCGCACCUCUCUGCUGGCCUCCCAUCCCGCUGCUGAGGUCUCCAUCCUGCAGGUGGAUGUCAGCAGCCUGCUGUCGGUGUUCCAGGCCACCAAGGAGCUCAAGCAAAGGUUUCAGAGAUUAGAUUAUGUAUAUCUAAAUGCUGGGAUCAUGCCUAAUCCACAGCUAAAUAUCAAAGCAUUUUUUCAUGGUCUCUUUUCAAGAAACGUGAUUCAUAUGUUCUCCACAGCUGAAGGACUGCUGACACAGAAUGACCAGUUUACUCCUGAUGGGCUCCAGGAGGUGUUUGAAACCAAUGUCUUUGGCCACUUUAUCCUGAUUCAGGAACUAGAAUCUCUCCUAUGUCACAGUGAGAGUCCAUCUCAGCUCAUUUGGACAUCAUCUCGCAAUGCAAAGAAAUCUAAUUUCAGCCUUGAGGAUGUCCAGCACAGCAGAGGCCAGGAGCCCUACAGCUCUUCCAAAUAUGCCAUUGACCUUCUGAGUGUGGCUUUGAACAGGAACUUCAACCAGCAGGGUCUGUAUUCCAGUGUCGUGUGCCCAGGUAUGAUGCUGACCAGUCUGACAUAUGGAAUCCUUCCUCCCUUUGUGUGGAUGUUAAUCAUGCCAAUCAUAUGGCUGUUAUGCUUUUUUGCAAAUGUUUUCACGUUGACACCUUACAAUGGAACAGAAGCACUGGUCUGGCUUUUCCAUCAAAAGCCCGAGUCUCUCAAUCCUCUGGUGAAAUAUCUGAGUGCCACCACUGGCUUUGGAAGCAAUUAUGUGACAUCCAAAAAGAUGGACCUAGAUGAAGACACUGCUGAAAAAUUUUACCAAAAGUUACUGAAACUUGAAAAGCAGAUUAGGGUCACCAUUCAGAAAACCAAUAACCAGAACUGAAAAUGAUGCUCUCUGAAACAUACUGUGCCUUUUGGGGAUUCUGGAGUGCGUGGGUUUCUCCUGAGCUGGAUCAUGUGCGUUUGUGGUAAACACUGAUUUCAGAUGGUCUCCUCAUUGCAGAAUCAUCUCUAUGAUUAUGUGUGUGUGUGCAUGUGAGAAAAGAAUGUCUGAUAUUUUAUCAGUCUCUAAGAAUGAUGUCACAUCAAAGUCGUGCUAGAGUCACCCAACUGAGUAUCUGUUUGUUCAGCCAGCAAGAGCACAAGCUCUACUUCAUGGGAUGAGGUGUUGACUUGAAUAAUUAUGACACAGACACAUACUGAUUCUCCUUUUUACCUGCCCCAGAAGGAGGAUGUACUACUCAUUCUCUGAGUAGCAAUCUUAGCCUUGUUCUUCACAAGUAGUUUUCCCUGGUUUUGUACCUUAUUUCUUCCUCCACAUGCCACAUUUAAAAAUCCUGAUACAGAUGCCCAUGUUAUUAAUCAUCAUAGUAACAAAAGUAUAUGUAUUUGGGCCACCUGAAUUAUUUUCUCUUUAUUUUAAAAGUAUCUUUUAUUGAUAUUGAGAUAGUCCAUGUUAAUAGUGGGCCUGACCUUCACCGCAGUUUACAAAUUUAUUACUGACCAACUUGUUUCCA